AAUACCCAGUCUGCUAGGUUUCUAAGCGUACGAGGCGCUGUGUGAUCUACCUUUCACUUAGGGCUACUAUGCAUCAUGGAUCUCACUUUGUCUGAAGAGCUAAAUUAGGCAGCUUUAUUUUAUUUCUUUUUAAUCUGUUUCCCUUGAUACACAAUGCUGCUUGAUACACAAUGACUCAAACCACUAGAGUUUGUGAUACUUAAGAAAAGUUUCAAUUGGUGAUCAGAAGCUUUAAACAGUUUUUAUGCUCUAGAAUUCCAUUAAAAUGUAAUUUUUUGCUUUAAACACUGUAAAGGA